AACGUAGGUCACAAGCGUUGUCCGGAAUUACUGGGUGUAAAGGGAGCGCAGGCGGGAGAACAAGUUGGAAGUGAAAUCCAUGGGCUCAACCCAUGAACUGCUUUCAAAACUGUUUUUCUUGAGUAGUGCAGAGGUAGGCGGAAUUCCCGGUGUAGCGGUGGAAUGCGUAGAUAUCGGGAGGAACACCAGUGGCGAAGGCGGCCUAUUGGGCACCAACUGACGCUGAGGCUCGAAAGUGUGGGUAGCAAACAGG
rnacentral:rRNA from 1 species